UAGAUCUAGACGUCGUGUGGCCACACUCUCCUUCACAUCCUCCUCUUCUAUCUCUAUCUCUCUCUCUCUCUCUCUAGCUCUCUGCUCUUUUCGAUCUUCUCUUCGAUGGCCACCCCGACCUCAACCACCUCUCUUAAUUCCUCUGUUAAUCACUCUAUAACGAUAUGGUGGUGGUGGAAUCACUGGGACUGCUGACUGAGUCGACCAUAAUGCCAAGAAGCACCGCUCCGUCGCCGGCGUCGGAGCCUCUUCGAUCAUGGAGCUCAAACCCUAGCUUUACCAGUCUCAAGAAGAUUCCAAGAAGUCCAAAGACCUCGCAGACCCAGACGCUGAGUUCCACCGCGCUAAGUAGAAGAUCACCGCACACGAUGUCUUCUCUGCCGAGAACUCCGGCGUCGACGCCUGGGCCCACAGGUUCUACCACAACUUGAAUCUCGUGGGAAUACCGAAGUUGAUAGGCACCACUAAAUCUGGUGGAAAACAUAUUGAGUUUGUAAGCGAUGAUAGGUGGAAAGGGAUACACUGACUCUGCAACACUGAUCGUGAAUCUUCAACAGCCGUCAACGUUCUCUCCGUCGAUAAAAAUUUGAUGGUUUCUGAAGUAGUUUGCUGGUGGUUUUUGAAAUUCAAUGUUGAAUUGAUGUGUGUAUACAUAUAUGGAUUUAAUCGUGAUUAUAUAGAAUUGCAUUUUCUCUCUGCUUUCUGUUUUGUCAUGAAGAGAUUUAUAUUGUCAAUUGUAAAUCUAGGAUGGCCUUGGUCGAUUGGGUUUUCUAGAUAGCUAAGUUACAAGUUUGUUGUUUUUAUAAUUACAAAAUUUGACAAACUAAAUGGAAAAGGUAGAUAAUUCGGUUGUUUACUUGAUAUGUGCAUAAAGGGUAGAUAAUUUUGGAGCUUCUGGGAAUUGAAGGAGGAAGAACACAGUAUUUAAACAAAUUCAUAGAGGUAUGAACCUGUGUUUUUGUUUGCGUUUUACAACUGGGUAAUUGGUGCAUGAUAGCCAUCGUCUGGUUUUGUUAAAAGUUGAUGGUGGUGUGGUGAUGAGCAAUGAGGCUGUGGAGCUUGAGGCUCUCCUUGAGGGGCUCAAUACAGCUCUCACUCUGGACUUGAAAAAUGUCACAUUUUUCUGUGAUUGCUACAUGCUUUACCAAUAUGUGAGUUUUAGCAUCAAGUGUUGCUUUUUAUCAGUCUUGUGAUUUUGGUAUUUAAUUUCAUUCGACGUUAUUGGUUUGCUAGCUAAUUGUUUAUUUUGUUUAUUGUUCAGUGUUCACUGAUUCGCAUGUAAUUGUAUGUAGCUUUCAUGGUUCUUUAUAUUUUGGAAUCUUUGGAUGAUUUUGGUUUGGUUACUGGCGUGCUUUGUUUGCUGCAAUCUUUGGUUACUUAGACAUGGGAAAGCUUGUGUAUUUGGUAGGGUUUGGAAGUGGAUAUGAGAGGGUUUCUUAGUUGAACAGAGCUCUCAUUCUGUCUGGUUUUGUUAAAAGUUGGAGGUAGAGAGCUAGGUUGCUUUUGAUCGGUGGUGCACUUAUCAUUUGCCAUACCUCUACAGAAGCUACAUAGGUAUGACAAAUCAAAAUGGAGGUGGGCUGACAGCAUCAAGAACCAUCCUGAUAAGGGCGGAGAUCCAGAAAAAGUAUUCAUCUUUAUCUUUUUCCAUGAAUCCCUGAUUAGGGUUUUUCCAGAUUUGGGUAUUUAGUCCUAGACUCACCAAGGAUGGCAUUUUUGUCACAAAGGCUGGUCCUGCUGGAAUUCCAACCACAAAGAAGUAUUCUCUUGCAUAUAUCUAAUUCAACUUGCAUAUGUGGAAGAGGCUGGUGAUCUGUACAGGGGAGAAAUGGAGGAAUCAGAAAUGUAUAGAGUUUGAUAAUGGAAGAAUUAGAGGAGAAAUAUAACUAAUGCAUACACCCUUGACUAUCAGGUAUGGAGUGAGUGGAUGUUCUGCAUUAAAUUUUUUUUCCAAAGGGAAACAAGGAUGAUAAAGAGUAUGGCGGAGGCUGAGAUUUAGAAGAUUUUGUAAAUGUGAUCAAUGAGAAAUGUAGGACGAGCAGAGAUGCGAAAGGACAACUUACUUCCAAAGUUAGUACCAGUUUAACCAAUGAACAUGCCUCAUCAGUUUCUUUAUCAAUCAUUGGUGUAUAAUUGGUAGAAAAGUAUAUUUGAAUUUUGUUUCUUUAUAUGGAAUUUGAUGGUUUUUAGGUUUGAUUC